AUGGCCGCGGCGAUGGCAAUGGUCAUCAUGCUGGCGGCGCUGGCGAUCCUUGCGCCGUCGGCGAGAGGGCUCGACCGCGCCGAGUUCCCGCCCGGGUUCCUCUUCGGCGCCGCCACCUCUUCUUACCAGAUCGAGGGCGCGUACCUGGAGGACGGCAAGGGCCUCAGCAACUGGGAUGUUUUCACCCACACGCAGUCUAGGGAGAUCAACGAUGGGCGGAACGGGGACGUGGCGGACGACCAUUACCACCGUUUCAUGGUACAGAGUUGA
rnacentral:rRNA from 1 species